CAGGAUUGCGCCCAGGCCGGCGGGUCGAGUGGGGAGCCGCGGGCCGGCGGCCGAGCUCCGGGCCUGCGCGGCGGGUCUCCAGCGCCCCCUUUCGGCCUGGGCGGCUCGCGCCGCGCCAGCGCUCCGAUUCCGGGGGGGAGGCGACCCUGCGCGGGCGCGCGGGCCUGGGUGGCCUGGCCUGUAGGUCUCUGGCCCUCGGUCUCGCCCCAACACCAGAGCGAGCGGGAAGCCGGAAGAGCCGGGGAAAGGGGCCGGGUUGACAUUCUUGUCCCAGCCUGCACGCCGCCUCCAGUCCCUACCCCUGGUACUGCAGGGAAACUGAGGCUCAGUGGGUGCUGGCCCGAGAAGCCGAAGCACAGCCGGACGGAGCUGGGGCCCGGUGCCCCGCGCGGCACCGACGCCCUGCCCGCCAGUGCACGGAUGGGGAAGUCGAGCCCCAGGACGCUUGAGCGGAGGGCUUGACCCGGCGGGGCGGGGAAGGGAGAUCUGGUUCCCAGGCGCCAUCCAUCCAGGGGACAGAACCGCCCAGGAUUGCGUUCGGCUGGCUGGGGUUUGGGUGAGCUCCAUUUCCGGCUUGAGGGACAAGUGACUUUGGACUGGUAGCCAGGUGGUGAGGACAGCGCGGCAAGAGCCCAAAGGCCAAGUUGGAGCUGGCCACUGCAGAGGUGACCAGGUUGGCCGGCAAAACGGAAGGGAGUUGUCCACUGCUACGCCCGCUGAGGUCACCCUGGACGAGGUCAUCAUCCCGCCCACCCUCGCCUUGCCUGUCACAGGGGACAGUGCUUGUCUUUGUGUUUCUCAACGUCCCCACCCCAACCCAUCAGGCUACGAAUAAAGACGGCCUGGCUCAU
rnacentral:lncRNA from 1 species